GAUGAACGCUGGCGGCGUGCCUAAUACAUGCAAGUCGAGCGAACGGACGAGAAGCUUGCUUCUCUGUUGUUAGCGGCGGACGGGUGAGUAACACGUGUAUCACCUACCUAUAAGACGGGGAUAACCUCGAGACACCGGCGCUAACACCGGAUAAUAUUUUGAACCGCAUGGUUCAAAAGUGAAAUACGGUCUUGCGGUCACUUCUAGAUGCAUCCGGGCUGCAUUAGCUGGUUGGUAGGUUAACGGCUUACGAAGGCAAGCAUGCGUAACCGACGGGAGAGGGGGAUCGGCGGCACGGGAACUGAGACAGGGACCAGACUCCUGCGGGAGGCAGCAGAAGGGAACGGGAGGCAACAGGCGAGAGCCUGACGGAGCAACGCGGAGUGAGAGACGAAGAUCUCCGGUGCGGAAAACUCGGUUAUGGGGUAAGAACAGAUGUGGCAGGAAACGAGCACAUAGUGACGGUACCUAAUCAGAAAGCAACGGCUAACUACGUG
rnacentral:rRNA from 1 species